UUUAUAUGGCCACUACAUCACAGAACUGAACCAUCUCGUAAUAAUCUUCAUCUUCUUCAUCACAAAACCUACCUUCUUUCUGGUUUUCACCAGCAGUAAUAUAUGCAAAUGAAGAAAGUAGUGUUGAAGGUGGAGCUACACAGUGAACGAAUCAAGCAAAAAGUUAUGAAAACAACCUCUGGCAUUUCAGGAGUUGAGUCAGUGAACAUAGACAUGAAGGACAAGAAAUUAACUGUAACAGGAGACAUCGACCCAGUUAAGGUAGGGAAAAGCUAAGAAGUUUUGUCAUACAGAGAUAGCGUCUGUUGGAGCAGCAAAGAGUCCGAGAAGAAAGAAGAUAACAAAACGAUAGAGAAUAUAGCUAAAAUGAUUGUGCCUGCUCCUUCGAGUUACGGCCAUGUUUAUUAUCCACCACCUUAUUAUGUUGGAACUGCGGAAGAAUAUCCUAAUAGUGGCUGUGUCAUUUUGUAAGCGAACGUGCUUUUGAAUCCGAUGAAACAGAGCCGCAUAUAGUAUCGAUGAAGAUAGGUGGAGUGCAAAGAAUAAAACUGUGUUAUUGUCAGUUUAUUACUUUAUAUGUAUGUCAUCUACCUCACAUAUGUAUUAAGAUUUAAAAAAAGAAACUUUUGUGUUUUAAUCAUAUAUAA